rnacentral:rRNA from 1 species
CAGCCGCCGCGGUAAUACGUAGGUGGCAAGCGUCGUUCGGAAUUAUUGGGCGUAAAGGGCGCGUAGGCGGUUUGGCAAGUUUGGUGUGAAAUCUUCGGGCUCAACUCGAAGUCUGCAUCGAAAACUGCCGGGCUUGAGUAUGGGAGAGGUGAGUGGAAUUUCCGGUGUAGCGGUGAAAUGCGUAGAUAUCGGAAGGAACACCUGUGGCGAAAGCGGCUCACUGGACAAUUACUGACGCUGAUGCACGAAAGCUAGGGGAGCAAACAGGAUUAGAUACCCGUGUAGUCCCUGUCUCUUAUAC